GACGAACGCUGGCGGCGUGCUUAACACAUGCAAGUCGAACGGAAAGGCCUCUUUCGGGGGGUACUCGAGUGGCGAACGGGUGAGUAACACGUGAGUAACCUGCCCUUGACUUUGGGAUAACUUCAGGAAACUGGGGCUAAUACCGGAUAGGAGCUCCUGCUGCAUGGUGGGGGUUGGAAAGUUUCGGCGGUUGGGGAUGGACUCGCGGCUUAUCAGCUUGUUGGUGGGGUAGUGGCUUACCAAGGCUUUGACGGGUAGCCGGCCUGAGAGGGUGACCCGCCACAUUGGGACUGAGAUACGGCCCAGACUCCUACGGGAGGCAGCAGUGGGGAAUAUUGCACAAUGGGUGGAAGCCUGAUGCAGCAACGCCGUGUGCGGGAUGACGGCCUUCGGGUUGUAAACCGCUUUCGCUCAUGACGAAGCUUUGUGUGACGGUAGUGGGUAAAGAAGCACCGGCUAACUACGUG
rnacentral:rRNA from 1 species